UACGAGUGGCCCAAGCGUUAUCCGGAAUUAUUGGGCGUAAAGGAUGUGUAGGUGGUUAUAUUAGUCCGGUGUCUAACCUCUGAGCUCAACUUGGAGACAGCAUUGGAAACGGUAUAGCUAGAGUAUGUUAGGGGUAAGCGGAACUCAUAGUGUAGGGGUGAAAUCCGUUGAUAUUAUGGGGAACACCAAAAGCGAAGGCAGCUUACUAGACUGUAACUGACGCUGAGGCACGAAAGUGUGGGGAUCAAACAGG
rnacentral:rRNA from 1 species